GCCACAGGAUGGGGUGGAGCUCAGGCGGGGGGAACGAAAGACCGUCGGCAGAGAUCCCGAGGGACCUCGCGACCCCAGGCCACUUCACUAUCACCCAGGCGCCCGCGCCCCAGCCUAGGGCUGGGAGUUCCCGGGCCCUGGACAAUUCGGCACACUUGGGACACCCCUAAGAUGCCCAGAUCUCCAAACCCCUCCCCGGUACCCAGGCCUGACCCAGGCUGAAGAGGUAGCAGGCCUGACGGGAGAGGGUACCACCACCCUGAUGCAACCUUCCAAGUCAACUGGAUCCCUCUUUCUGCUCCAUUCCCUCAGGAAAACCCUUAUUCUUUUACCGUAGGGGAAGGGGGCACAGGGACCAAAUCUAUUGCUCAGCCAUAGAGUACAUAUAUGUACUGCCCCACACAUGAAUUUGAAAAGAAUGUUAAAUUAACUGCUGUCAUUUAAAAUCAAGGAUAUGUCACAGGAAAAUCCACGUGUCUGGCUCCUCUUGACGAAUGGAAGUGACUGGCCAUCUUGGGCCUGCAUUUUCCAUGGCCAUUGCCGCUGCACCCCUUGGAGGAGGCUCUUCAGGAGCGCCCACCACACCCAGUGACUUCACUCCUAUCUGCCAUCAGCCAGGCCCCUGGCUUCUUCUAGAAUUCUUAUGCCAUCCUCCUGUCUUAUACCAUGUUUCAUCACAUAAUCAUCUCCCCUCUGGAGCACAGGGGCCACUUCCCCUUCAUCCCUGUUCCCUCACAGCUCCUAUCACAGGGCCCAACACACAGCAGGGAAGUAAACGAAUGAACGGUGGCCAAGCAAGGCCUCCUAACCAAA